rnacentral:lncRNA from 1 species
GACCUAAGAUGGCGGCGUUUGCGCGGGGUGUAACCACUGCGUCCUUACGGGGGUUGCAAGGCGUCCGAAGUAUGAGUCCACUAACAAAAGUCCAGAAACUCGCCAGUUAAUAGUAUUGUGUCUCUUCAAAAUAUCGGAAAAUAAUUUCUUUCUCGCUGAUCGCCUAACUUCUACUGACGAGGCUAGGAAGUUGCAGAAGCUAGCUCCUAGGAGAGAUAUAUGGGUCGUUCUUUCCUUUUUCCUUAUUUAAAUGGGUUUUUAUUGACACCAUGUCGCGCCAAAAUGGAUUCCAUCUCCUCAGAGCUUUCCUAGGAACAGCCUAACCUCUUGGGCCUAACUUUAUUUUUUUUUGUUCUGCCUUUCAUGUCCAAACUUUUUAGUUUUAAUUAAUUUGUUUGUAACGUAUUCAUUAUGCACUAGAUUAAACAAUUUUUUUCUGUGCCCACUAUACCCCAAAUGUGGAGUUUUGGGCAAAAACUUAA